rfam:Flavobacteriaceae bacterium TJ101, complete genome.
GGUCCUAUAGCUCAGCUGGUUAGAGCACCUGACUCAUAAUCAGGGGGUCCAUGGUUCGAGCCCAUGUGGGACCA